rnacentral:rRNA from 1 species
GUUAUAGGAUCAAGUGAAUAAGUGCAUGUGAUGGAUGCCUUGGCGAUUACAGGCGAUGAAGGACGUUGUAGCCUGCGAUAAGCUUCGGGGAGCUGGCAAACAAGCUUUGAUCCGAAGAUUUCCGAAUGGGGAAACCCGCCGCUUUUGCGGCACCCACAUCUGAAUACAUAGGGUGUGUGGAGCGAACCUCGUGAACUGAAACAUCUAAGUAGCGAGAGGAAAAGACAUCAACCGAGAUUCCCAAAGUAGUGGCGAGCGAAAUGGGAACAGCCUUCUAGUGAUAGCACAACAUUUAGCAGAACGGAAUGGAAAGUCCGGCAAUAAAGGGUGAUAGCCCCGUAUGCGAAAAAUGAUGUGUGGUACUAGGCUAGAGACAAGUAGGGCGGGACACGUGAAAUCCUGUCUGAAUAUGGGGGGACCAUCCUCCAAGGCUAA